AAUAGAUACCCCGGUAGUCCACGCCGUAAACGAUGAGUACUAGGUGUAGGAGGGUCCGAACCUUCUGUGCCGCAGUUAACACAAUAAGUACUCCGCCUGGGAAGUACGAUCGCAAGAUUAAAACUCAAAGGAAUUGACGGGGGCCCGCACAAGCAGCGGAGCAUGUGGUUUAAUUCGAAGCAACGCGAAGAACCUUACCUGGACUUGACAUCCCCUGAAUAGUGCAGAGAUGCAUGAAGCCCUUCGGGGCAGGGAGACAGGUGGUGCAUGGUUGUCGUCAGCUCGUGUCGUGAGAUGUUAGGUUAAGUCCUGCAACGAGCGCAACCCCUAUCAUUAGUUGCUACCAUUAAGUUGAGCACUCUAGUGAGACUGCCCGGGUUAACCGGGAGGAAGGUGGGGAUGACGUCAAAUCAUCAUGCCCCUUUAUGUCCGAGGGCUACACACGUGCUACAAUGGUAGGUACAGAGAGAUGCAAGACCGCGGAGGUGGAGACAAAACCUACAAAAAACCCUAUCCCAGUUCGGUA
rnacentral:rRNA from 1 species